GCCCCUUACAAAAAUCCAUGUAUUAACAUCUUUCUCCACAGGGUGGCGCUAUUUAAGAGGCGUGGAACUUCUAGUGAAUGGAGCCUAAUUCAGGUCCUUAGAUCACAGGGCAUGUGCCCUUAAAGGGAAUUGGGAGACCCUAGCCCCUUCCUAUUCUUUGAUCCUUGCCUAUGAGGUGAGCAGUUUGCUUUGCCAUAUGCUCCCCACUAUUGUCAUUGGACAGGCCUACCAGAACCUAAAGACAGUGAGUCUGUAUAAUCAGAACUUAGAACCUCUAAAACAGUAGGUGUCCCGAGUCCCAGGCCCCACAGCACCAACUGCAGCCAGCUCUCCUGGCGGGCCUUGCUCAGGGCCCAGAACAGCUACUUUGUUCCGCCCUGACUCCAACAGUGGGUGAAUCUUGCCCUUUCUGGUUGAUUGCAGUACCACCCCUUGUCUACAGUUUCCGUGCCUUUCAACGCAUUGACUUCAGACCCCAGUGCUUCUCCUCCUGAGAGAAUCAUUUCAAGGACAAGACUCAAAGAGUUAAUGUGCUAAUAAACUAGAACACAAGAAGCAAUUAGGCUG
rnacentral:lncRNA from 1 species